rnacentral:pre_miRNA from 1 species
UACAAUAUUUUGACUCUUCGUCUUAUUUAAAUUUUUUUGUAAUUAAUAUUUUUAUUGUUACUAUAUGAUAAAAUAUAAAUAGUACUUUAUGCGUGACUAAUUUUUUUAAGUUUUUAUAUAAAUUUUUCAAAUAAGACGAAAUGGUUAAAUGUUGGACACGAAAA